rnacentral:rRNA from 1 species
AACGAACGCUGGCGGCAUGCCUAACACAUGCAAGUCGAACGAGACCUUCGGGUCUAGUGGCGCACGGGUGCGUAACGCGUGGGAACCUGCCCUUAGGUUCGGAAUAACUCCCCGAAAGGGGUGCUAAUACCGGAUAAUGUCUUCGGACCAAAGAUUUAUCGCCUUUGGAUGGGCCCGCGUUGGAUUAGCUAGUUGGUAGGGUAAAAGCCUACCAAGGCGACGAUCCAUAGCUGGUCUGAGAGGAUGAUCAGCCACCCUGGGACUGAGACACGGCCCAGACCCUCCGGGAGGGGAGCAGGGGGGAAUUUGGGACAAUGGGCGAAAGCCGGACCCCGCAAUGCCGGGGAAGUUAUGAAGGCUUUAGGUUUGAAAGGCUUUUUUACCCGGGAUGAUAAUGACAUACCCGGGGAAAAAACCCCGGGUAACCUCCGU